UACGAAGGGGGCUAGCGUUGUUCGGAUUUACUGGGCGUAAAGCGCACGUAGGCGGAUCGAUCAGUCAGGGGUGAAAUCCCAGGGCUCAACCCUGGAACUGCCUUUGAUACUGUCGAUCUGGAGUAUGGAAGAGGUGAGUGGAAUUCCGAGUGUAGAGGUGAAAUUCGUAGAUAUUCGGAGGAACACCAGUGGCGAAGGCGGCUCACUGGUCCGAUACUGACGCUGAGGCACGAAAGCGUGGGGAGCAAACAGG
rnacentral:rRNA from 1 species